AGAAUAUCUUAUUAAGGAUUAUGCAAAAUAACCUUCUACAAAUCCUGAUAUUAUUACACCGCCCCAAAAACUUCAAAGCAUCAGGAAAGUUUCUUUUCUUUUUUUUUUUUAACUAAACCAGAUUCAGCUGGCUACCCCACUUGGCUACAGAGUACUAAAGAAGAGACUGAACUUGAUCCUGCAGCCCUUGCAUACACAACACUCCCAUUGACUCUAGAGAAGACUUAAGUGCAUGAAAGGAUUCCAGGAUCAAAAGGCUUGUGUUCAGACCUGGGUCCCAACUGAUGAGCCUAUUGUUGGCAACUUGCAAAACAGCAGGAAUGACAGACAUGGUAGAUUCAUGGUCCAAAGGACCAGCGUCAGCGAGAGAUGGCUGGAGGAACAGCAUCUGAGCCAGACAUUAGGUUCUAGGCCAUCUUUACAUCUUCUUGUGUGAAGGUUCAUGCCUGACUGCUGGUUUCAAGUCCUUUUCAUCCAGGAAGGAAAAGACCUGAUCAGGUAAGGCAGUACCCACUCUUCCACUUCCCUCCUUUUUUGCAUCAUUUCAUUUUCAUUGCUCUGUCUAGCACUUAAUACUUUCUAGUGUAGUCAUUA
rnacentral:lncRNA from 1 species